GAUGAACGCUGGCGGCGUGCCUAAUACAUGCAAGUCGAGCGAACAGACGAGGAGCUUGCUCCUCUGACGUUAGCGGCGGACGGGUGAGUAACACGUGGAUAACCUACCUAUAAGACUGGGAUAACUUCGGGAAACCGGAGCUAAUACCGGAUAAUAUAUUGAACCGCAUGGUUCAUUAGUGAAAGACGGUUUUGCUGUCACUUAUAGAUGGAUCCGCGCCGCAUUAGCUAGUUGUUAAGGUAACGGCUUACCAAGGCAACGAUGCGUAGCCGACCUGAGAGGGGGAUAGGCAACACUGGACCUGAGCAACGGCCAAGCUCCCUACGGGAGGCAGAAGUAGGGAAUCUUCAGCAAUGGGCGAAAGCCUGACGAAGCAACGCGGCGGGGGUGAUGAAGGUCUGCGGAUCGUAAAACUCUGUUAUUAGGGAAGAACAAAUGUGUAAGUAACUAUGCACGUCUUGAGGGUACCUAAGAAGAAAGCCACGCUAAACUACGU
rnacentral:rRNA from 1 species